AUACUCACCUGGCAGGGGAUAUACCAUGAUCACAAAGGUGGUUUUCUCAGGGCAAGGCUUAUCCAUUACACUCCAGAUGUGAUGACCUGUGCAGUUUUCCCAAAUGGGGAAAACUUGACUGCAUAAUUUUUGGUAAUGGAAGACUGUGUUAGUGUUUUCCCCUA